rnacentral:lncRNA from 1 species
AGAAGAGGCCACUGCAGAGCCCAUGCAGCCUGCCCCCCUGAGCCCCAGGCACCCAUUGCCAGGGGCACAUUGAUAGUACCAGGGCAUGAAGAUCCUGAUCAAAUUAAAGUACAAAUGAGGCCUGAGCUGCACCAGCUCCUCCAGCUAUCUCUCCAGACGCUGAAGCAUCUCCUUACUUAACAGUGUGACUGACAGACCACAAGCCUCCAAUACCAAUGAUGUCGGGGUUCUGGAAAUGGCUGCCAGGGAUAGAUGAUGUGUUCAUUUUCAAUAUUUUCCUGGAUGGCUACCGAGAGAAAUAAUGAUAAAGACAGAACAACUGUAAACCAUGAUGCUGUUCUAACUCCAAGAUCCUUGACAGACGCAAGCCAUAGAAGACACCAGCAAAGUGGCAGGUAACUGGCAGAUGAUGGGGGCCUGAAGAAAGUCCUGCUGGGUGGAUAGAAAAGGGUCCACAAUUCCCUCUGGCCACCUCAUUUGUUUGGGGGUGUUUUCUGUUUCUUCUCAGCAGCCAGUUAAUCUUGCUCUGGUUUUGCUUAAACCAAUAUUAAAGUUAGUUUGCAUUUCCUGAGGCGGCCAAGAGAUUUGGGGGAGAUAACAGCGGGUGACAGAGCUAACUCCCCAGGUUACAAGCGACUGCAGAGUAACAAGAGCAAAGCAAGCCAAAAGCAGGAUCAGGAGGAAAUGCCACAGUCAGGAAACCGUCUUUAUUGUCUUUCAAAGAGAAGCAUUUCUUUUACGUAAAUCACCACUGUCCUUUUAAAAAGAAAAAAAAAAGUUGUCGCAGGAGUUUCCCCCACUCUAAUGACAGUUACCUCUGCACC